UUGUGAAAUUUUGAUAGUAAAUGUGACAUGAAAAUACUGUUCCCAUGCAAAAGAUUUACAAAGAAAGAUAUCUAACCAAUUACUGAAAAUUUUAGAGAAGGGAAAAAUUCAUGUUCAUUCAGCCACCAUGUUGACACUGUAGUCUGUGGUGGCACCAUGCUAACAGAUGUGACUGCAGGCCCUGGUAAACCUCACACUUAUUGCACCAUGCCCUGCUGCAAUCUCCCACCAUGCCCUGCUGUAGUCUCCCUCUGCUCUGCUGCAGUCUCCCACCAUGCCCUGCUGCAAUCUCCCACCAUGCCCUGCUGUAGCCUCCCACCAUGCCCUGCUGUAGCCUCCCACCAUGCCCUGCUGCAGUCUCCCACCAUGCCCUGCUGCAAUCUCCCACCAUGCUCUGCUGCAGUCACCGAGUGAGUGGAAAAGGAAGCUAUGCACUCUGAGUAUUCGAGUUACUGGCUGUCCUCUUCAGAUUGGCAACAAUUGCUCUUGAAUGUACCCAUCUGCUUGUGUUCAGCCAUCACUACCAGCUAUGAAAUAUCGCCAAUACUGGAGAAACUAGAUAGAUAAGGCUAGUAAUACUGAAUUUUAAGACCAUACUAAGUUCUUUCAUCUGGAUCCCACUGAGUCACUGUUAGUUUUUUAUUGUUUGAGAUCUCAUACAUGCAUCGCAUGUUUUCAUUAGCUCCUCCAAUUCCAAGUUUAUCUCCUCCCACUCUAUGUGCUCUUCUGUGCUCCAUUUUUGAAGCCAUGGAGUCCACUUAGUGGACCGUGCGAGUGGGUAUACUACUACCUACCGGGAUGUGGAUAGCUUCUCAGAGGCUGCACCCCUGAAGAAAACUGUCUUUCCUUCUCCCAGCAGCCACCAGUUCCCAGCGGCUCCUCAGCUAGGGUGGGGCUUUGUGACAACCUCCCCAUCCACGAUGAUCUGCUGCAGGUCUCGUACACAUAGUCACAGCUGUGGGACACAACCUGCCAAGUCACAGCGUUCACAGAUGGGAAAGAUUCUCAAUGACUUCUCCCCCUGGAAGCAUACACAGCACCUUCCAACACUCUGAAUGCUGUCAAGUAGGGAUGAUGGUUCCAGUUUUAUAGGUUCAGUCCAUUGUCAUCAUGGUGGGGAGUAUAGCUGAAUUAAAGGAAGAAAUUAAAAAGGGAAGGAUAUAACUGGUCCUGAGUUUGCACCAGAUGAGCGAAUAAAAGCAAUUAAAAGGAAAAGACACAAUGUCUCCUAGUUAUGGUGGAGUAGAAAUUUUAUUAUAGAUAAAAGGGAGAGCACAGCAGACACAGGAACAUCUGGGAGAGUUCAGAGACUCUGAGCCAUGUAAGGAGAAAGGAGAGGGGAGAGGGGAGAGCCAGAUAACCAAAAUGUCUGGAUUAUGUAGGGAAGGGCAGAACCCUGUAACAGGAAGGACUGAGGCAUGCUGGGGGAACUUGGAGCCAGGUCUGCUUUGGUAUAGGCACCUCAGCAGUUUGUCCUGGGUCUGAGACCUAACAGAAGUAGCUGAGUGUUCUGCAUCCCAGGUAGCAGGAAGAGAGAAACUCUGGGACUGGCUUGGGCUUUUGAAACUCCAAAGCCCACCCCUGUGACACACUUCCUUUAACAAGGCCACACCUCCUAAUCUCUCUCAAGUAGAGGCAUUCCCUGGUGAGGGAGCAUUCAGAUACAUGUGCCUAUAGGGGCCAUUUUCAUUCAAAUCACCCACCUGUACCAUAGACCUCGCCCCCACUUAAGGAUUUCUGCUCCACUCUUCCCUUUUCCCACUUCAUACCACCCGUGCUCUGCCCCUGUCCCUUGAAUCUUGCCUCCUGUACAUGGCCCCUUACCUCUUUUCUGAAGAAUCAAUCCACAUAUGAGAAGAAAGGUGACAUUUGUCUUCCUGGGUCUGGGUCACCUCACUCAGGUUUCUAGCUCCAUCCACUUACUGUGUAUUUUGUAACUUUGUUUUCUUUACAGCUGGAUAAAAGUCAUUUGUGUAAAUAUGUCACAUUCUCAUUAUCCACUCUUCAGUCGGAGAACACACAGGCUGUUUCCUUCCCCCGGCUAUUGUGAAUACUGUAGCAAUGAACAGGAAUAAGGGAGUAUCUCUGUAGUAGACAUACUUCUUCCUUUGGGAAUAUGUCUACGAGUGAGACCCCUGCUUCUUAUGGUAGAUCUGUGCCCUGACUUUUGAGGGACAUCCACACUGGUCUCCCUAGUGGCUGUAUCAGUUUGUGUUCCCGCCGGCAGUGAAUGAGCAUUUCUUGGGACUUUCUAAUGCUAACCAUUCUGACUAAAGGGGUAUUAAUUUGUCUGGAGAAUCAAUACUACAUGCUGGACUAGACAAGGAACAGCUUGGGUCUCCCAGAGUGUCCUGGCUCUGGCAGACAUCCAUUCUUUCAGCCUUCUAUCAGGAUCCAACCUGUACCCAGGUGGCUGAACUCCUGAGGAGAAUAUGGAAGUGACCUUCACAUUAGGGGCUACUCAUGUAGAGUGUCUCACUGACGUGCACUCUACAUAACACCAAUGGGCUAUUAACAAGCAGGACACUUUCUGGAAAAUGGUUCUUUCUAGAAAAGGGGCAACAGCUCCACCUGAUAGACCAAGGCACACUCAAGCUACUUGUGUGCCCACAAGACCAUGCUGGGCUGUAUCAGGAUGGGGGCUCAUGGUUCCUGAGGUGUGGUACACAUCUAUACAGCCUCACCUGAUUAUGUGCCUGGAAGCCAUAGACACACUUCUGAUGCUCCACCAUGUCCAUAGAUCUAGGUUUGGCCUGGGUUCUAAUACUCUAAGUAUCAGAGUAUUCUGCCGCCUGUACAUCCUGUGUGUGAUCUGUCCAUCCACAGGCAGUGACAGUGCACUGGGAGUUUGCAAGACAGGCAUGCAGCCCUUAGCCCCAUCCCUGAUGGCACACCAGCUCCUGCCCCAGCUCACACACUGUCCAGGGCUCCCAGUGUAUGCGCUGCUUAACCUUCCAGAAUAGGGUGAUUAAUAUCCUAGAAGUUACUCAGAAAAUAAGGAUGGAAAGAGAAGGCAAGGACUCAGGAGGGCUCCUGUGUUAACACCGAGGCUACAGGAGUCUGGAGACCCAUAAGGCUGCGCGUGGACCAGGGAUUUCCCCAUGGUUAGGCUGGACUGGUGAAAUUUAACCUUACCAUAGCUAUCCUUACCUUCUCUUGAGCUGUAAGUUCCUAAGUCUGAAGUGCAGGUGUUUUCUGUGGAGGACCAUGUUCACUCAGCAAUGAAAACAUCUGGGUGAGCACGCCCGGCAUUGCCCUGCCUGAGCUGGAGCGGCGGAGACACACUUCACACCCUGUCAGCUGUCUCAGGGUUGAGCAUGUACCACUACCUUAUGAGGCUGGUGGUGGUGUUGGAAAUGCAUAAUAAUUUCAGGAAUACAAGAAAGAUAAACUUAGGGCCGGAGGGGUGGCUUAGCGGUUAAGAGCACUGACUACUCUUACAGAGGUCCUGAGUUCAGUUCCCAGCAACCACAUGGUGGCUCACAACCAUCUGUGAUGGGAUCUGAUGCCCUCCUCUGGUGUCUGAAGACAGCGACAGUGUACUCAUCAAAUAUAUUAAAUAAAUAAGUACAUCUUUAAAAAAAAACAAAAAAAGAAAGAAAGAUAAACUUAAACCUUGGGGUUUCUCAGGGGUCUGGAGAGGAUAAGGACUGGUCCUCAGAGUAAAAAGUUGUCUUGGCCAGGCAGCAGCUUCCAGCUCCUAGAUAGGAGACCCCAGCCUUGCACAAGGCAGGAUCUGUGAUCAGGGGAUGCUUCUCCAAGAAUGUAAAGUGGGUGCUGAGCAGGAAGCUUUGGAUGCUGUCCUGAUCCUCUUCCACCUCCACACAGAAUAUUCUGGAAAUUAUCAGUCGUGAGAUGUGGUGCAAAGACAGGAAUGUGGACUAAUGUUUCCCAGAGUGCCCUAUUGCCUGGACACCUCAGUUUCCAGGCACAGGCCUUGAUCCUUCCCCACCGGUUCCUGCAGGGGGCAGUUGGCCACAUUUCCUUGGGGAGGUCAAAGGUGGUUCUGGGCCUAGCUCAGGCCUAGCUUGCCCUUGCCUGUCCACCAGAGGGCAGUAGUGCACAACUGUCCUCCUGGUCUUAGUAACAGGGACCCCAGAAGUCCAAGGGACUCCAAGGUCCAAGUCCUUGGAGAUGACCACAACUGACACUGUGCAGAGGCUCGGAGUCUGCAGAUGACACUGCUUUUGAAAUCUGCUCUCGGGAACAUUAGCAGAUAUUUGGGGAGAUAUCUAAAAGCCAAGGGAAGCAAGGCUCUGACUCCCCAAAGCCUCUCAGUGAGGCCUCUCCUCUGACAUGACAGGCCUAAGGAAACGGAGACCCUUCAGAUGUAGAAUGUGCCAGGGUCUGAGUUCUCACUCCUGAGCAGUGCCUUGAGCUUGCCCAGCUGAGGGCAGGUCCAGCUUGGUGUGUGGGUGGCAGCCGCCCCUGCGGAAGAGGCGGGGCCUGAGCCCCCUGGCAGCUGUGUCUUCCCAGCCUUUGAGCUCCAGCACCUCCUCAUCCAGGUUACCGGGAUGGCCUGUUACUGCACCAAGGAGGUGAUCGGUGAGACUACAGAACACUGUGACCGCCAGCAAGGCCAGCUGGUCACCGAGACAGAAGACAGCUCCCGGGGACGGAGGCUGAGAGUUCUGGCACGGUCCUCGGUGCUCACACUCUCCUCCCUUCUCCUCGGGGGCCAUUCUAGUAUUACAGUGCUAAUCCACCAGACACGGGGGAUUUUAAAUUUCAUUUUUGUGCAGUUAUUUAAAGUUUAAACUGAUAAUGUCUAACCCAAUUAAAUUCCAGU